CCAAUAGCGUAUAUUAAAGUUGUUGCAGUUAAAAAGCUCGUAGUUGAACUUCGGGGUCUACCCAUUGGUCAGGCUUAAUUGUCUGCACUGGUGAGAUGGAUCUCUACCUUCUGAGGAACUUUCAUGCCAUUUAUUUGGUGUGAUGGGAAAUCAGGACUGUUACUUUGAAAAAAUUAGAGUGUUUAAAGCAGACUAUCGUCUGAAUACAUUAGCAUGGAAUAAUGAAAUAGGACGGACUGAUUCUAUUUCGUUGGUUUCUAGGAUCACCGUAAUGAUUAAUAGGGAUAGUUGGGGGCAUUAGUAUUCAAUUGUCAGAGGUGAAAUUCUUGGAUUUAUUGAAGACUAACUACUGCGAAAGCAUUUGCCAAGGAUGUUUUCAUUAAUCAAGAACGAAAGUUAGGGGAUCGAAGACGAUCAGAUACCGUCGUAGUCUUAACCAUAAACUAUGCCGACUAGGGAUCGGACGAAGUUAAUUUUUUAAUGACUCAUUCGGCGCCUUACG
rnacentral:rRNA from 1 species